rnacentral:lncRNA from 1 species
UAUAAUGAUGAAAUUUAACUUACUUUCCCACCAUUUUUCCAUAUCACUCUUAACAUUUUGGAUUACUUUCUUUUAAUUAUUUGUAUGCAGUUGUUUAUUUUAUUUUUAUGCAAUGUGUUGAAAUCACGUUUCACUAUAUGUGAUAUCCUAUGCUAUUCAUUAUACUUUGUUACUUCAUAAUCUUUCCAUUCCAUCAGUUAAAAAUUUUCUUGCAAAUGACUUUAAUGAUAUGGAGACUUUAUAAUUUCAUAUGCCUUGAGGCCAGGCUGGCAUUGGGUGAGCUCAUUCCGUGGCUCAAAGAAUUAAGAGGAAUCUCCGUAUGUCUGCUUUGGAUGGAAACAAGAUAUCUGCCAGGGGAUGAGGAAAUUCUGCCUCCUGCAAAGAAAGACUCAAGGUCAACUAUCCUGAGAUCUUCAGACAUAGAGUUUGUGGGACAGUGACCAGAAUGGAGUACUGAAUCUCUUCUUUUCCCAACAACUCCUUGCACUGCUCUAACCUUGGCUUGGAACCUUGUUAUGAAAUAAGGUAAGAGGCCUAGGGGUUUGGAUUUUAGGAAGGGAUGGACUCUGUCUGUCCACAUC